GCGCGAAAACUUUACAAUGCGGGCAACCGCGAUAAGGGGACCUCGAGUGCUGGGUUACAAACCUGGCUGUUGGGCUGCCUAAAAAGCAGUCUAUAGCAAGGGCCGGGCAAGACCGGUGCCAGCCGCCGCGGUAACACCGGCGGCUCGAGUGGUAACCGCUAUUAUUGGGUCUAAAGGGUCUGUAGCCGGCCGACUAAGUCUCUUGGGAAAUCUGGCAUCUCAAGUGUCAGGCUGCCAGGGGAUACUGGUCGGCUUGGGACCGGGAGAGGUGAGAGGUACCUCGGGGGUAGGGGUGAAAUCUUGUAAUCCUCGAGGGACCACCAGUGGCGAAGGCGUCUCACCAGAACGGAUCCGACGGCAAGGGACGAGAGCUAGGGGCACGAACCGGAUUAGAUACCCGGGUAGUCCUAGCCGUAAACGAUACUCGCUAGGUGUCGGCCACGGUGCGACCGUGGUCGGUGCCGUAGGGAAGCCGUGAAGCGAGCCACCUGGGAAGUACGGCCGCAAGGCUGAAACUUAAAGGAAUCGGCGGGGGAGCACCACAACGGGUGGAGCCUGCGGUUUAAUUGGAUUCAACGCCGGAAAGCUUACCGGGGGCGACAGCAAUAUGAAGGUCAGGCUGAAGACCUUACCGGAUUCGCU
rnacentral:rRNA from 1 species